AGAGGGUGCGAGCGUUAAUCGGAGUUACUGGGCGUAAAGGGCGCGUAGGCGGUUUUUUAAGAUGGUUGUGAAAUCCCUGGGCUUAACCUAGGAACUGCAACCAUGACUGGAAGGCUAGAGUACUGUAGAGGGUAGUGGAAUUUCCGGUGUAGCGGUGAAAUGCGUAGAGAUCGGAAGGAACACCAGUGGCGAAGGCGGCUACCUGGACAGAUACUGACGCUGAGGCGCGAGAGCGUGGGGAGCAAACAGGAUUAGAUACCCUGGUAGUCCACGCUGUAAACGAUGAAGACUAGAUGUUGGGCCACCAUGACUGUUUAGUAUCGAAGCUAACGCGAUAAGUCUUCCGCCUGGGGAGUACGACCGCAAGGUUA
rnacentral:rRNA from 1 species